AGAGCGAACGCUGGCGGCAGGCCUAAUACAUGCAAGUCGAACGGAUCCUUCGGGAUCAGUGGCGGACGGGUGAGUAACGCGUGGGAACGUGCCCUUUGGUACGGAACAACUGAGGGAAACUUCAGCUAAUACCGUAUGUGCCCUUCGGGGGAAAGAUUAUCGCCAUUGGAGCGGCCCGCGUUGGAUUAGGUAGUUGGUGAGGUAAAGGCUCACCAAGCCUACGAUCCAUAGCUGGUCUGAGAGGAUGACCAGCCACACUGGGACUGAGACACGGCCCAGACUCCGACGGGAGCAGCAGUAGGAUCUGCGCAAGUGGGACGAAAGCCUGACGCAGCCAUCGCCGCGUGAAUGGAUGGAAGGUCUUAGGAUUAGUAAAAUUCUUUACGACCGGGAGAUAAUCGGACGGUACCCGGAAGAAGAACGCCCCGGACUAACGUUCGUGCCGAGCCAGGCCCGAGGUAAC
rnacentral:rRNA from 1 species